rnacentral:rRNA from 1 species
GAUGAACGCUGGCGGCGUGCCUAAUACAUGCAAGUCGAGCGAAUGGAUUAAGAGCUUGCUCUUAUGAAGUUAGCGGCGGACGGGUGAGUAACACGUGGGUAACCUGCCCAUAAGACUGGGAUAACUCCGGGAAACCGGGGCUAAUACCGGAUAACAUUUUGAACCGCAUGGUUCGAAAUUGAAAGGCGGCUUCGGCUGUCACUUAUGGAUGGACCCGCGUCGCAUUAGCUAGUUGGUGAGGUAACGGCUCACCAAGGCAACGAUGCGUAGCCGACCUGAGAGGGUGAUCGGCCACACUGGGACUGAGACACGGCCCAGACUCCUACGGGAGGCAGCAGUAGGGAAUCUUCCGCAAUGGACGAAAGUCUGACGGAGCAACGCCGCGUGAGUGAUGUAGGUUUUCGGUCGUAAAACUCUGUUGUUAGGGAAGAACAAGUGCUAGUUGAAUAAGCUGGCACCUUGACGGUACCUAACCAGAAAGCCACGGCUAACUACGUGCCAGCCGCCGCAGUAA